AUACGUAGGGUGCAAGCGUUAAUCGGAAUUACUGGGCGUAAAGCGUGCGCAGGCGGUUUUGUAAGACAGAGGUGAAAUCCCCGGGCUCAACCUGGGAACUGCCUUUGGGACUGCAAGGCUAGAGUACGGCAGAGGGGGGUGGAAUUCCGCGGGUAGCAGUGAAAGGCGUAGAUAUGCGGAGGAACACCGAUGGCGAAGGCAAUCCCCUGGGCCUGUACUGACGCUCAUGCACGAAAGCGGGGGGAGCAAACAGGAUUAGAUACCCUGGUAGUCCUCGCCCUAAACGAUGUCAACUGGUUGUUGGGUCUUCAUUGACUCAGUAACGAAGCUAACGCGUGAAGUUGACCGCCUGGGGAGUACGGCCGCAAGGUUGAAACUCAAAGGAAUUGACGGGG
rnacentral:rRNA from 1 species